UUCCUGGUGGCUCAGAUGGUAAAGAAUCUGCCUGCAAUGCAGGAGACCUGGGUUCAAACCCUAGGUUGGGAA
rfam:Ovis aries breed Texel chromosome 16, whole genome shotgun sequence.